GCAUGGGGGGAACCCUGAUCCAGCGACGCCGCGUGGAGGAAGAAGUCCUUCGGGACGUAAACUCCUGAACUUACCGAACAAUAAGGAUGGUAGGGAAUGGCCAUCUGAUGAGGGUAGGUAAGGAAAAGCCCCGGCUAACUACGUGCCAGCAGCCGCGGUAAUACGUAGGGGGCGAGCGUUGCCCGGAAUCACUGGGCGUAAAGGGGGUGUAGGCGGUCUAAUAAGUCAGAUGUAAAAGGCCCUGGCUCAACCAGGGAAAUGCGUCUGAAACUGUUAGACUUGAGGUUGCUAGAGGGAGACGGAAUUACCUGUGUAGCGGUGAAAUGCGUAGAUACAGGUAAGAAGGCCGGUGGUGAAGACGGUCUCCUGGGGCAAACCUGACGCUGAGGCCCGAAAGCUAGGGGAGCAAACCGGAUUAGAUACCCGGGUAGUCCUAGCCGUAAACGAUGCCCACUAGGUGUGAGCGGUAGUACCGUUCGUGCUGAAGCUAAGGCGAUAAGUGGGCCGCCUGGGGAGUACGUCCGCAAGGAUGAAACUCAAANGAAUUGGACGG
rnacentral:rRNA from 1 species